rnacentral:misc_RNA from 1 species
CCUAGUCGAUUCAGAAACUCAGACUUUCCCAAUGUUUCUCAAUGACUCGUGUAGUAAUUGCUGUAAUCUGUUCGCCAUAGCCUAGCAAGUCAUCUGAGACCAUCUCAAUCAUAGUUUUCUGUCUGAUCAGCUGAGGUGAAGCUCUGAGCUGAGGCUAGCAAGUCAUCUGAGACCAUCUGAAUCAUAGUUUUCUGGCUGAUCAGCUGAGGUGAAGGUCUCAGCUGAGGCUACCGAGUCAUCUGAAUUAUAGUUUUCUGUUUAGCCCAGGUGAAGGCCUGAGUCAUGGCGGAAAGUGAAAUUAAGUCACGUGAAGCAAAGGUGAAUUUUGAUGAAGAUGUUUUAGCAGCGAUAGCAGAAGUCUAUCAGGAAGAAGGAGACAAAGAAUUCACAAGAAAAGAAGUUUGUAACGCAAUAUACUUCUACACAGAAGGAAUUCAUGUGAACUGUAAGGAUUUCCAGCUUAAUGCCAAGCUGUACAGCAGCAGGGCAAGAGCUUAUUACCAUCUCGGGAAUUUCCACGAGGCCCUGAAUGAUGCAACGGCUGCCGUCAAUUUGGAACCAACUUUGAUUAAGGCCAUAGAAACAGGUAAAAUCCUUGACUCAACUGAUUUAUAACAUGAAUUUUACAAUAACUGCAGAACUUAUCGCGCGCUCGUUGGCUAAUUUUCUUUGUCAAGAUGCAAACAGACGCCUGAACUUAUAACUUAUGCGAUGUUGACGCGAGGAGCAAGAGCGGCUGAGCGGAAUUUGACAAUUUAUUAUUGUAAAAGAACAAAUUGACGCCAGUUUUUCAUGCGUCUGUCUUGUCAUUGACAAUAAA